UACGAAGGGGGCUAGCGUUGUUCGGAAUUACUGGGCGUAAAGGGCGCGUAGGCGGUGUGUCAAGUCAGGUGUGAAAGCCCCGGGCUCAACCUGGGAACCGCGCUUGAGACUGGCACGCUCGAGUUCGGGAGAGGAUGGUGGAAUUCCCAGUGUAGAGGUGAAAUUCGUAGAUAUUGGGAAGAACACCGAUGGCGAAGGCAGCCAUCUGGACAGGCACUGACGCUGAGGCGCGAAAGCGUGGGGAGCAAACAGG
rnacentral:rRNA from 1 species